UGAGGAAUAUUGGUCAAUGGACGCAAGUCUGAACCAGCCAAGUAGCGUGCAGGAUGACGGCUCUAUGGGUUGUAAACUGCUUUUAUAUGGGGAUAAAGUGGGGAACGUGUUCCCUUUUGCAGGUACCAUAUGAAUAAGGACCGGCUAAUUCCGUGCCAGCAGCCGCGGUAAUACGGAAGGUUCGGGCGUUAUCCGGAUUUAUUGGGUUUAAAGGGAGCGUAGGCCGUUUGGUAAGCGUGUUGUGAAAUGUAGGAGCUCAACUUCUAGAUUGCAGCGCGAACUGUCAGACUUGAGUGCGCACAACGUAGGCGGGUUUCAUGGUGUGGCGGUGAAAUGCUUAGAUAUCAUGAAGAACUCCGAUUGCGAAGGCAGCUUACGGGAGCGCAACUGACGCAGAAGCUCGAAGGUGCGGGUAUCGAACAGG
rnacentral:rRNA from 1 species